CAGCCGCCGCGGUAAUACGAAGGGGGCUAGCGUUGUUCGGAUUUACUGGGCGUAAAGGGCGCGUAGGCGGGCUGAUCAGUCAGGGGUGAAAUCCCAAGGCUCAACCUUGGAACUGCCUUUGAUACUGUCGGUCUUGAGUUCGAGAGAGGUAAGUGGAACUGCGAGUGUAGAGGUGAAAUUCGUAGAUAUUCGCAAGAACACCAGUGGCGAAGGCGGCUUACUGGCUCGAAACUGACGCUGAGGCGCGAAAGCGUGGGGAGCAAACAGGAUUAGAGACCCCUGUAGUCCCUGUCUCUUAUAU
rnacentral:rRNA from 1 species